rnacentral:rRNA from 1 species
CACAAGCGGUGGAUGAUGUGGUUUAAUUCGAUGCAACGCGAAAAACCUUUACCCACCUUUGACAUGUACGGAAUCCUUUAGAGAUAGAGGAGUGCUCGAAAGAGAGCCGUAACACAGGUGCUGCAUGGCUGUCGUCAGCUCGUGUCGUGAGAUGUUGGGUUAAGUCCCGCAACGAGCGCAACCCUUGCCUUUAGUUGCCAGCGGGUUAUGCCGGGCACUCUAGAGGGACUGCCGGUGACAAACCGGAGGAAGCGGGGAUGACGUCAAGUCCUCAUGGCCCUUAUGCGUCGGGCUACACACAUGCUACAAUGGCCGGUACAAAGGGAAGCCAAGGAGCGAUCUGGAGCCAAUCCCAGAAAGCCGGUCGUAGUCCGGAUUGUUCUCUGCAACUCGAGAGCAUGAAGUCGGAAUCGCUAGUAAUCGCGGAUCAGCCACGCCGCGGUGAAUACGUUCCCGGGCCUU